UGAAGCUGAGCUUGCUUGGUGGAUUAGUGGCGAACGGGUGAGUAACACGUGAGCAACCUGCCCUGGACUCUGGGAUAAGCGCUGGAAACGGUGUCUAAUACUGGAUAUGAGCUUUCACCGCAUGGUGGGGGUUGGAAAGAUUUUUCGGUCUGGGAUGGGCUCGCGGCCUAUCAGCUUGUUGGUGAGGUAAUGGCUUACCAAGGCGUCGACGGGUAGCCGGCCUGAGAGGGUGACCGGCCACACUGGGACUGAGACACGGCCCAGACUCCUACGGGAGGCAGCAGUGGGGAAUAUUGCACAAUGGGCGGAAGCCUGAUGCAGCAACGCCGCGUGAGGGAUGACGGCCUUCGGGUUGUAAACCUCUUUUAGCAGGGAAGAAGCGUGAGUGACGGUACCUGCAGAAAAAGCGCCGGCUAACUACGUGCCAGCAGCCGCGGUAAUACGUAGGGCGCAAGCGUUAUCCGGAAUUAUUGGGCGUAAAGAGCUCGUAGGCGGUUUGUCGCGUCUGCUGUGAAAACCCGAGGCUCAACCUCGGGCCUGCAGUGGGUACGGGCAGACUAGAGUGCGGUAGGGGAGAUUGGAAUUCCUGGUGUAGCGGUGGAAUGCGCAGAUAUCAGGAGGAACACCGAUGGCGAAGGCAGAUCUCUGGGCCGUAACUGACGCUGAGGAGCGAAAGGGUGGGGAGCAAACAGGCUUAGAUACCCUGGUAGUCCACCCCGUAAACGUUGGGAACUAGUUGUGGGGUCCUUUCCACGGAUUCCGUGACGCAGCUAACGCAUUAAGUUCCCCGCCUGGGGAGUACGGCCGCAAGGCUAAAACUCAAAGGAAUUGACGGGGACCCGCACAAGCGGCGGAGCAUGCGGAUUAAUUCGAUGCAACGCGAAGAACCUUACCAAGGCUUGACAUACACGGGAACA
rnacentral:rRNA from 1 species